rnacentral:rRNA from 1 species
UCCUUAGACGUUCUGGGCCGCACGCGCGCUACACUGACGAAGGCAACGAGCUUUCCUUUACCGAAAGGUACGGGUAAUCUUUUGAAACUUCGUCGUGCUGGGGAUAGAUCCUUGCAAUUUUUGAUCUUAAACGAGGAAUGCCUAGUAAGCGCAAGUCAUCAACUUGCGUUGAUUACGUCCCUGCCCUUUGUACACACCGCCCGUCGCUACUACCGAUUGAAUGGUUUAGUGAGGCCUUCGGAUCCGCGACUCGUUUUGUGGAGAAGUUGGACAAACUCAGUCAUUUAGAGGAAGUAAAAGUCGUAACA